rnacentral:tRNA from 1 species
UGCUAAGUGGCUCAGUGGAUUGAGUUCUUGACUUUGAAUCUGGAAGACCUAAGUUCAAAUUUGGCCUUAGUAA